rnacentral:misc_RNA from 1 species
GAUGAAGAACGUAGCGAAAUGCGAUACGUAAUGUGAAUUGCAGAAUUCAGUGAAUCAUCGAAUCUUUGAACGCAUAUUGCGCUCUCUGGUAUUCCGGAGAGCAUGCUUGUUUGAGUAUCAGUAAACACCUCAACUCCCUUUUCUUUUUUGAAAUGGGAGCUGGACUUGAGUGAUCCCAACACUUUUCUCACUGGAAAGUGGCGGGUCACUUGAAAUGCAGGUGCAGCUGGACUUUUCUCUGAGCUAUAAGCAUAUCUAUUUAGUCUGCCUAAAAAACAGAUUAUUACCUUUGCUGCAGCUAACAUAAAGGAGAUGAGUUCUUGUGCUGACUGAUGCAGGAUUCACAGAGACAGCUUUGCGGCUGACUUUGUAAACUCGAUCUCAAAUCAAGAAAGACUACCCGCUGAACUUAAGCAUAUCAAUAAGCGGAGGA